rnacentral:rRNA from 1 species
GAUGAACGCUGGCGGCGUGCUUAACACAUGCAAGUCGAACGAAGCAGAUUGAGAUCUUCGGAAGGAUAUCUGACUGAGUGGCGGACGGGUGAGUAACGCGUGGGUAACCUGCCUCAUACAGGGGGAUAACAGUUAGAAAUGACUGCUAAUACCGCAUAAGCGCACAGUACCGCAUGGUACGGUGUGAAAAACUCCGGUGGUAUGAGAUGGACCCGCGUCUGAUUAGCUAGUUGGUGGGGUAACGGCCUACCAAGGCGACGAUCAGUAGCCGACCUGAGAGGGUGACCGGCCACAUUGGGACUGGGACACGGCCCAAACUCCUACGGGAGGCAGCAGUGGGGAAUAUUGCACAAUGGGCGAAAGCCUGAUGCAGCGACGCCGCGUGAGUGAAGAAGUAUUUCGGUAUGUAAAGCUCUAUCAGCAGGGAAGAAAAUGACGGUACCUGACUAAGAAGCACCGGCUAAAUACGUGCCAGCAGCCGCAGUAAAAC